AUUUUCCGUUGUAGCAAUACGAUGGAAAGUCUAGUGGCGAACGGGUGCUUAACACGUGGGCAACCUGCCAUGAAGUGGGGGAUAGCUCGCCGAAAGGCGAAUUAAUACCGCAUGUGAUUAGAGAGGACAUCCUUUCGAAAUUAAAGUCGGGGCAACCUGACGCUUCUUGUGGGGCCCGCGGCCUAUCAGCUAGUUGGUGAGGUAACGGCUCACCAAGGCUUUGACGGGUAGCUGGUCUGAGAGGACGACCAGCCACACUGGGACUGAGACACGGCCCAGACACCUACGGGUGGCAGCAGUCGAGAAUUUUUGACAAUGGGGGAAACCCUGAUCGAGCGACGCCGCGUGGAGGAUGAAGGUCUUCGGAUUGUAAACUCCUGUCAUUGGGGAACAAUGCACAGAUAUUAACUGUAUUUGUGUUGAUAGUACCCGAAGAGGAAGAGACGGCUAACUCUGUGCCAGCAGCCGCGGUAAUACAGAGGUCUCAAGCGUUGUUCGGAUUCAUUGGGCGUAAAGGGUGCGUAGGCGGCGCGGUAAGUCGGGUGUGAAAUCUCGGAGCUUAACUCCGAAACUGCAUUCGAUACUGCCGUGCUUGAGGACUGGAGAGGAGACUGGAAUUUACGGUGUAGCGGUGAAAUGCGUAGAUAUCGUAAGGAAGACCAGUGGCGAAGGCGGGUCUCUGGACAGUUCCUGACGCUGAGGCACGAAGGUCAGGGGAGCAAACGGGAUUAGAUACCCCGGUAGUCCUGACAGUAAACGGUGCACGUUUGGUGUGGGAGGAUUCGACCCCUUCUGCGCCGGAGCUAACGCG
rnacentral:rRNA from 1 species